rnacentral:rRNA from 1 species
GUGGAUUGGAUACCCUGGUAGUCCUGGCAGUAAACGGUGCACGCUUGGUGUGCGGGGAAUCGACCCCCUGCGUGCCGGAGCUAACGCGUUAAGCGUGCCGCCUGGGGAGUACGGUCGCAAGAUUAAAACUCAAAGAAAUUGACGGGGACCCGCACAAGCGGUGGAGUAUGUGGCUUAAUUCGAUGCAACGCGAAGAACCUUACCUGGGCUUGACAUGUAAUGAACAACAUGUGAAAGCAUGCGACUCUUCGGAGGCGUUACACAGGUGCUGCAUGGCCGUCGCCAACU